rnacentral:misc_RNA from 1 species
GAUGAAGAACGUAGCGAAAUGUGAUACUUGGUACGAAUUGCAGAAUCCCAUGAAUCAUCGAGUCUUUGAACACAAGUUGCGCCCGAAGCCUUUUGGCCAAGGGCACGUCUGCAUGGGUGUCACGCAACGUCGCCGCCAGCACAUCCUUCCCACAGGGGAUCGCGUGGUACCUGGGGGCGGAUUUUAGCCUCCCGUACGCCGAGGCACGCGCGGUUGGCCUAAAUUUCAGCUCAUGGCGAGGAUCGCCACGACAAGCGGUGGUUUUUUGAACUAAGGAGCUCGAGUGUUGUCGUGCGGCCUCGCAGAGAGAAUGAACCCCGUGCGCUUGCGCACCCUCAUAACGAGACCCUAGGUCAGUCUGGAACACCCACUGAAUUUAAGCAUAUCAAUAAGCGGAGGA